rnacentral:rRNA from 1 species
UACGUAGGGGGCAAGCGUUGUCCGGAAUCACUGGGCGUAAAGCGCACGUAGGCGGCUUCUUAAGUCAGGGGUGAAAUCCUGGAGCUCAACUCCAGAACUGCCUUUGAUACUGAGGAGCUUGAGUCCGGAAGAGGAGAGUGGAAUUCCUGGUGUAGCGGUGAAAUGCGCAGAUAUCAGGAAGAACACCCGUGGCGAAGGCGGCUCUCUGGGACGGUACUGACGCUGAGACGCGAAAGCGUGGGGAGCGAACAGG